GAGCAGUGGAGAAGGAGAAACUCGCCAGGCUCAUAACCUGGAGAUCGGUGGUGCAAGUCCACCCUGCGCCA
rnacentral:tRNA from 1 species